UCCGCACCAUGCUGCUGAAGUUGAAGGCGGGACAUGAAGUCAUAAGGCAUGCACAGACAAAGAAAUAUACAAACACCGCUGUCAUCAUGGCAUGCAGCCCAACUUUGUUUCAUUGAUUUCAGCCGGUUGACCUGCCGUCUUUUGCAGCGCGGAGGGUCGGAUAAAAUCCAAAGCUGGUUCUAAUUCAUCCGAUAGAAGUGUGGAGAUAACAAGUUGGAGGAGUGAGACUAAACUUUUAUCCCGAGUCAUGUGUCAGCGGUGUGAGUGGAGAGACAAAGGGGAAGGGAGUUACAACUCGGGAUGUUAAAUGCGUCAAUAAAUUCGGGGAAAGUGGAAUUAAGAGUUGGAAGAAAGCAGGACUUUGACAGAAGACGUGACGUGUUGGUGUGGAGGCUUCGGAAUUGUGACAGAGCCGGGCUGAAUAACGCAAGUAGUGUAAUUGAGCAGCUAUUUAAAGACGGGUUGCUUCCAUCGUAAUGAUAUCAGAGAGAUCUCACUGUGCUUCACACAUUGUCAUGGAGACGGAGGGGCGACUGAAUCACACCAAAUCCUCAUCUCCAACAAGACGCAGAGCUACAUUGGCUGUCCUUUGGAGUCGUGUUUCUUGGCACCUGAGUAACGGAUGGACGGAUGAGACAAUGGGCCCCUGAGCAACAUUUGAAAGGCCCCCCCCAUCGCCCACAAAGGAACCACACACCCAGGUCAUCUGAGUGACUUGGUUCUGGACUUAACAGACUCUCCUCACAGUACUAAAAACCACCAGAGGAGAAACGGCAUCAGGAAAGUCUCAGUAUCCUCAGGAAGAUGCAUCAGGAUGACCAAUGACCUGAGAGCCUACAUUAACAGCUGACACAACUUGACACACUAUAUAAAAAACUUUUUACUCUGGAGGUCAUGGUAUGGACAGUUUACAUAAAAGU